GACGAACGCUGGCGGCGUGCUUAACACAUGCAAGUCGAGCGGUAAGGCCCUUUCGGGGGCACACGAGCGGCGAACGGGUGAGUAACACGUGGGUGACCUGCCCUCAGCUCUGGGAUAAGCCCGGGAAACUGGGUCUAAUACUGGAUAUGACUCCACGGUGCAUGCCGUGGGGUGGAAAGCCUUGUGCGGCUGAGGAUGGGCCCGCGGCCUAUCAGCUUGUUGGUGGGGUGANGGCCUACCAAGGCGACGACGGGUAGCCGGCCUGAGAGGGCGACCGGCCACACUGGGACUGAGACACGGCCCAGACUCCUACGGGAGGCAGCAGUGGGGAAUCUUGCGCAAUGGGCGAAAGCCUGACGCAGCGACGCCGCGUGAGGGAUGACGGCCUCGGUUGUAAC
rnacentral:rRNA from 1 species